rnacentral:tRNA from 1 species
CUAGUUAUAAUUAAAGUAAUAAUAUUUCGUUGCAAACGAAAAAUUGAAACCCUAACUAGU